ACGCUGGCGGCGUGCCUAAUACAUGCAAGUAGAACGCUGAAGAGAGGAGCUUGCUCUUCUUGGAUGAGUUGCGAACGGGUGAGUAACGCGUAGGUAACCUGCCUUGUAGCGGGGGAUAACUAUUGGAAACGAUAGCUAAUACCGCAUAACAAUGGAUGACACAUGUCAUUUAUUUGAAAGGGGCAAUUGCUCCACUACAAGAUGGACCUGCGUUGUAUUAGCUAGUAGGUGAGGUAACGGCUCACCUAGGCGACGAUACAUAGCCGACCUGAGAGGGUGAUCGGCCACACUGGGACUGAGACACGGCCCAGACUCCUACGGGAGGCAGCAGUAGGGAAUCUUCGGCAAUGGGGGCAACCCUGACCGAGCAACGCCGCGUGAGUGAAGAAGGUUUUCGGAUCGUAAAGCUCUGUUGUAAGUCAAGAACGAGUGUGAGAGUGGAAAGUUCACACUGUGACGGUAGCUUACCAGAAAGGGACGGCUAACUACGUGCCAGCAGCCGCGGUAAUACGUAGAUCCCGAGCGUUGUCCGGAUUUAUUGGGCGUAAAGCGAGCGCAGGCGGUUUGAUAAGUCUGAAGUUAAAGGCUGUGGCUCAACCAUAGUUCGCUUUGGAAACUGUCAAACUUGAGUGCAGAAGGGGAGAGUGGAAUUCCAUGUGUAGCGGUGAAAUGCGUAGAUAUAUGGAGGAACACCGGUGGCGAAAGCGGCUCUCUGGUCUGUAACUGACGCUGAGGCUCGAAAGCGUGGGGAGCGAACAGGAUUAGAUACCCUGGUAGUCCACGCCGUAAACGAUGAGUGCUAGGUGUUGGAUCCUUUCCGGGAUUCAGUGCCGCAGCUAACGCAUUAAGCACUCCGCCUGGGGAGUACGACCGCAAGGUUGAAACUCAAAGGAAUUGACGGGGGCCCGCAC
rnacentral:rRNA from 1 species